rnacentral:tRNA from 1 species
GCGGUUGUGGCGAAGUGGUUAACGCCACCGGAUUGUGGCUCCGCAUUCGUGGUUCGGGAUUCCAAUCAGUCGCCCCA